rnacentral:rRNA from 1 species
AGCGUAGGCGGAUUUUUAAGUGAGAUGUGAAAUACUCGGGCUUAACCUGAGUGCUGCAUUUCAAACUGGAAGUCUAGAGUGCAGGAGAGGAGAAGGGAAUUCCUAGUGUAGCGGUGAAAUGCGUAGAGAUUAGGAAGAACACCAGUGGCGAAGGCGCUUCUCUGGCUGUAACUGACACUGAGGCACGAAAGCGUGGGGGAGCAAACA